rnacentral:rRNA from 1 species
CCAAUAGCGUAUAUUAAAGUUGUUGCAGUUAAAAAGCUCGUAGUUGAAUUUCGGGGUUAGUAGGUUGGUCAUGCCUCUGGUAUGUACUGGUCUCACUGAUUCCUCCUUCCUUAUGAACCGUAAUGCCAUUAAUUUGGUGUUGCGGGGAAUUUGGACUGUUACUUUGAAAAAAUUAGAGUGUUUAAAGCAAGCUAACGCUUGAAUACAUUAGCAUGGAAUA